UUGCUGGGUGGAUUAGUGGCGAACGGGUGAGUAACACGUGAGUAACCUGCCCUUGACUCUGGGAUAAGCGCUGGAAACGGCGUCUAAUACCGGAUACGAGCUUCCACCGCAUGGUGAGUUGCUGGAAAGAAUUUCGGUCAAGGAUGGACUCGCGGCCUAUCAGGUAGUUGGUGAGGUAACGGCUCACCAAGCCGACGACGGGUAGCCGGCCUGAGAGGGUGACCGGCCACACUGGGACUGAGACACGGCCCAGACUCCUACGGGAGGCAGCAGUGGGGAAUAUUGCACAAUGGGCGCAAGCCUGAUGCAGCAACGCCGCGUGAGGGACGAAGGCCUUCGGGUCGUAAACCUCUUUUAGCAGGGAAGAAGCGAAAGUGACGGUACCUGCAGAAAAAGCACCGGCUAACUACGUGCCAGCAGCCGCGGUAAUACGUAGGGUGCGAGCGUUAUCCGGAAUUAUUGGGCGUAAAGAGCUCGUAGGCGGUUUGUCACGUCUGCUGUGAAAACUGGAGGCUCAACCUUCAGCCUGCAGUGGGUACGGGCAGACUAGAGUGCGGUAGGGGAGAUUGGAAUUCCUGGUGUAGCGGUGGAAUGCGCAGAUAUCAGGAGGAACACCGAUGGCGAAGGCAGAUCUCUGGGCCGUUACUGAC
rnacentral:rRNA from 1 species